rnacentral:rRNA from 1 species
GACGUAGGGCGCGAGCGUUGUCCGGAUUUAUUGGGCGUAAAGAGCUCGUAGGCGGCUUGUCGCGUCGACUGUGAAAACCCGUGGCUCAACCAUGUGGUCUGCAGUCGAUACGGGCAGGCUAGAAUUCGGUAGGGGAGACUGGAAUUCCCGGUGUAGCGGUGAAAUGCGCAGAUAUCGGGAGGAACACCGGUGGCGAAGGCGGUUCUCUGGGCCUGACCUGACGCUGAGGAGCGAAAGCGUGGGGAGCGAACAGG